UACAGAGGUCUCGAGCGUUGUUCGGAUUCAUUGGGCGUAAAGGGCGCGUAGGCGGCGGGGUAAGUCUGGUGUGAAAUCUCGGAGCUCAACUCCGAAAUUGCACUGGAUACUGCUCUGCUAGAGGGCUGGAGAGGAGAUCGGAAUUCACGGUGUAGCAGUGAAAUGCGUAGAUAUCGGGAGGAACACCUAUGGCGAAGGCAGCUCGCUGGGACGUUACUGACGCUGAGACGCGAAAGCGUGGGGAGCAAACAGG
rnacentral:rRNA from 1 species